rnacentral:rRNA from 1 species
CCUACGGGAGGCAGCAGUGGGGAAUCUUGCACAAUGGAGGAAACUCUGAUGCAGCGAUGCCGCGUGAGUGAAGAAGGCCCUUGGGUUGUAAAGCUCUUUCGUCGGGGAAGAAAAUGACUGUACCCGAAUAAGAAGGUCCGGCUAACUUCGUGCCAGCAGCCGCGGUAAUACGAAGGGACCUAGCGUAGUUCGGAAUUACUGGGCUUAAAGAGUUCGUAGGUGGUUGAAAAAGUUAGUGGUGAAAUCCCAGAGCUUAACUCUGGAACUGCCAUUAAAACUUUUCAGCUAGAGUAUGAUAGAGGAAAGCAGAAUUUCUAGUGUAGAGGUGAAAUUCGUAGAUAUUAGAAAGAAUACCAAUUGCGAAGGCAGCUUUCUGGAUCAUUACUGACACUGAGGAACGAAAGCAUGGGUAGCGAAGAGGAUUAGAUACCCUCGUAGUCCAUGCCGUAAACGAUGUGUGUUAGACGUUGGAAAUUUAUUUUCAGUGUCGCAGGGAAACCGAUAAACACACCGCCUGGGGAGUACGACCGCAAGGUUAAAACUCAAAUGAAUUGACGGGGACCCGCACAAGUAGUGGAGCAUGUGGUUUAAUUCGAAGAUACGCGCAGAACCUUACCAACACUUGACAUGUUCGUCGCGACUCUAAGAGAUUAGAGUUUUCGGUUCGGCCGGACGAAACACAGGUGCUGCAUGGCUGUCGUCAGCUCGUGUCGUGAGAUGUUGGGUUAAGUCCCGCAACGAGCGCAACCCUCACUUUUAGUUGCCAUCAUUAAGUUGGGCACUCUGAAAGAACUGCCAGUGAUAAGCUGG